UACGAAGGGUGCUAGCGUUGUCCGGAAUUAUUGGGCGUAAAGAGCUCGUAGGCGGUUUGUCGCGUCUGCUGUGAAAACCCGAGGCUCAACCUCGGGCCUGCAGUGGGUACGGGCAGACUAGAGUGCGGUAGGGGAGAUUGGAAUUCCUGGUGUAGCGGUGGAAUGCGCAGAUAUCAGGAGGAACACCAAUGGCGAAGGCAGAUCUCUGGGCCGUAACUGACGCUGAGGAGCGAAAGCAUGGGGAGCGAACAGG
rnacentral:rRNA from 1 species